UACGUAGGGUGCGAGCGUUGUCCGGAAUUAUUGGGCGUAAAGAGCUUGUAGGCGGUUUGUCGCGUCUGCUGUGAAAAUCCGGGGCUCAACCCCGGACUUGCAGUGGGUACGGGCAGACUAGAGUGUGGUAGGGGAGACUGGAAUUCCUGGUGUAGCGGUGAAGUGCGCAGAUAUCAGGAGGAACACCGGUGGCGAAGGCGGGUCUCUGGGCCGAUACUGACGCUGAGGAGCGAAAGCGUGGGGAGCGAACAGG
rnacentral:rRNA from 1 species